GUUGUGCUGGUUCAGUGGUUAAGAUUUUGAUUUUGAGUUACAGAUCAGAAGGUUAUGUGUUCAAAUCCCAGCACUGCC